rnacentral:rRNA from 1 species
CCUACGGGAGGCAGCAGUGGGGAAUAUUGCACAAUGGGCGAAAGCCUGAUGCAGCAACGCCGCGUGCGGGAUGAAGGUCUUAGGGUUGUAAACCGCUUUCGAGCGGGAAGAAACUGACGGUACCUGUUAACUAAGGUGCGGCCAACUACGUGCCAAGGCCGCGGUGACACGUAGGCACCCAGCGUUGUCCGGAUUUAUUGGGGGUAAAGAGCUCGUAGGAAUUUCGGUAAGCCGGGUGUGAAAACUCUGGGCUCAACCCCGAACCGCCACUCGAUACUGCUGUGACUCGAGUGCGGUCUGGGAGCGGGGAAUUCCUGGUGUAGCGAGGGAAUGCGCUUCCUCAUGAGGAACACAAAUGGCGAAGGCGCGCUCUGGGCCGUGACUGACGCUGACACGCGAAAGCGUGGGGAGCGAACAAGAUUAGAUACCCUGGUAAUCCACGCCGAUUACAAUGGGAACUAGGUGUGGGCGGUGUCGACUCCGUCCGUGCCAAAGCUAAUCCAUUCCCUUCCCCGCCUGGGGAGUACGGCCGCAUGGCUAAAACUCAGAGGAAUUGACCGGGGCCCACACUCGCAGGAAUUGAUGGGGGUUAACUCGACCCAACGAGAAUAACCUUACCAUCGAUCCACCUGCACUGGACUGUCGUAGACUUACAGCGGCCCUUCCGGGCCAGUGUACUCGUGUCGCAUGGCUGUCGUUGUCUCGUGGCUGGAUGUGUGGCGUUAACUCGCGCCACGAGAUGUUGCCCUGUCUCUAGUUACCAGCGCAUAAUGUGGGGGACUCUGCGGAGACUGCUGUGACAAAUCUAGGAAGGUGGGGAUGACAAAAGUCAUCAUGGCGCUUAUGACCUGAGUAACACGCGCUUUACUGCUUGGGACACCGCUAGCUAAACGCGAGGCACAACGAUCCCAAAACGCGAUCUCAAUCGAAUCCUCAGCGCAGUCUCCCUCGAGAGCUGGAUGCACUAGUACCCGGAUCUGAUACCCAGUGACUGCGUGUCAGGA